CCUACGGGUGGCAGCAGUGAGGAAUAUUGGUCAAUGGGCGAGAGCCUGAACCAGCCAAGCCGCGUGAAGGAUGAAGGAUCUAUGGUUUGUAAACUUCUUUUAUAUGGGAAUAAAGUGUGGAACGUGUUCCUUUUUGUAUGUACCAUAUGAAUAAGCAUCGGCUAACUCCGUGCCAGCAGCCGCGGUAAUACGGAGGAUGCGAGCGUUAUCCGGAUUUAUUGGGUUUAAAGGGUGCGUAGGCGGUAUGAUAAGUCAGCGGUAACAAGUCGGGGCUCAACGCCGUCGAGCCGUUGAAACUGGCAUUCUUGAGUUGGAGAGAAGUAUGCGGAAUGCGUGUUGUAGCGGUGACAUGCA
rnacentral:rRNA from 1 species